UACGUAGGUGGCAAGCGUUAUCCGGAAUUACUGGGCGUAAAGGGCGCGUAGGCGGCCUCCUAAGUCGAACGUGAAAUCCCCGGGCUCAACCCGGGAACUGCGUCCGAUACUGGAAGGCUUGAAUCCGGGAGAGGGAUGUGGAAUUCCAGGUGUAGCGGUGAAAUGCGUAGAUAUCUGGAGGAACACCGGUGGCGAGGGCGACAUCCUGGACCGGUAUUGACGCUGAGGCGCGAAAGCCAGGGGAGCAAACGGG
rnacentral:rRNA from 1 species